rnacentral:rRNA from 1 species
GACGAACGCUGGCGGCGUGCCUAAUACAUGCAAGUCGAGCGGACGAAUCGAAAGCUUGCUUUUGAUUCGUUAGCGGCGGACGGGUGAGUAACACGUGGGCAACCUGCCCUGUAGACGGGGAUAACACCGAGAAAUCGGUGCUAAUACCGGAUAACACGAAAUGUCGCAUGACGUUUCGUUGAAAGACGGCGCAAGCUGUCGCUACAGGAUGGGCCCGCGGCGCAUUAGCUAGUUGGUGAGGUAACGGCUCACCAAGGCGACGAUGCGUAGCCGACCUGAGAGGGUGAUCGGCCACACUGGGACUGAGACACGGCCCAGACUCCUACGGGAGGCAGCAGUAAGGAAUCUUCCGCAAUGGACGUAAGUCUGACGGAGCAACGCCGCGUGAGCGAAGAAGGCCUUCGGGUCGUAAAGCUCUGUUGUUAGGGAAGAACAAGUAACGCAGUAACUGGCGUUACCGUGACGGUACCUAACGAGAAAGCCACGGCUAACUACGUG